UCGAGAAUCUUCGGCAAUGGACGCAAGUCUGACCGAGCGACGCCGCGUGCGGGAUGAAGGCCUUCGGGUUGUAAACCGCUGUCGUAGGGAAUCAAGUGUAUGAGGGUACUCCCUUGUAUUUGAGAGAUCCUAGGAGGAAGGGGAGGCUAAGCUCGUGCCAGCAGCCGCGGUAAGACGAGCUCCCCAAACGUUAUUCGGUAUUACUGGGCUUAAAGAGUUCGUAGGCGGCUCUGUAGGUGAGAUGUGAAAGCCCUCGGCUUAACCGAGGAACUGCGUUUCAAACCACAGGGCUUGAGGGAGAUAGGGGUAAGCGGAACAGAUGGUGGAGCGGUGAAAUGCAUUGAUAUCAUCUGGAACACCGGUGGCGAAGGCGGCUUACUGGGUCUUUUCUGACGCUGAGGAACGAAAGCUAGGGUAGCGAACG
rnacentral:rRNA from 1 species